UCACCAUGGGGACAGUCUCUGAUGACAGGUAGUUAAGUUCAUGAUAAAGAGCCCAAGAGAUGGCACCAGUGUGCUGCUAGGAAAUAGAAGAUAUAGCGAUGUAGAGCAAUUACUUUGGACUCACAUCCAGCGGUGUUCAAAUUCCAGACCGCCCACUUACAAGGCAACCUCGAAGGGCUAAAAUCUAACCAAUCAGCCAACCAACAAACCCUUGGCUUCCAAGUCAAACUGCAGACAGAGCAUAUGGAUUGGUCUCCUCUACCCCUUGGAGAUCCACAAAGAGAAGGAGGACAAAGAAAAGCAGCAGGAAGAACAGGAGAAAAGUCAACAGCAAAAUAGGAUGGUCAGUUUCCAGUGAUAACAACAAACAGAAGCCAUGGUCUCAGAAGGGGCCUGAAGCAGAGGUAGAAGCCAGUCAUUCUGCAGAGACCUCAGAGGCUACAAAUUAGGACUCAGUGAGGAUAGAGGAUAGGUAAGAAUGUAGGGCAGAAACCUGCAGCAAUUUUUCUCUAAAGAAUGUCUGUUGAUUAUCUCUGCCGCUUGACAGCCCUUGUCCAACCAUGCAUGGAAUUUACUCCCAGGCAAAAUCAAUUGCUCUCUUUGGCCUUCACAAUUAACAAAAAAAUAAAAAAAUAAAAAAAAAUAAAACAAAAAAAACAAGACAAAACAAAACAAAACAAAAGGCCUGGAGACAUCAGGGGCAUCUUUUGUAUAUUGAUACUUCACAGAAUUAACUCUCCAUCUUGCUGCACAGGAGAUGAGGAUGCUUGAUUACUGGUCAUUCAUUAAUACACUAAUACACUCUAGGACUGUUUGGCUUGGGUAGUCCUCUAGAUAAUGGGGAUACAGAAGAAUCAAACAGACAAAAAUCCUAUAAAUCAUGAGGUGUACAUGGUG